rnacentral:misc_RNA from 1 species
CUCCAACAGUCCUUUUCCAACCCUGUAAAUCAAAAGCAUAACAAGCAUUGAACAAAUGCAAGAAAGUAUAACACACAUAGAAGAUAACACAAGCAACCUCACAAGAGCUACUUCGCCCACCAAUGCAUUUGCAAUUUCACAAAUGAUAGAGCUGAACUUCGCCCACCAUAAUUCCCCUAAAAUAAAACUAUUUAAAUAAAUAAAAAGAAAGUGGGUCCGCUUGCAUUUCAUCUCU